UCUCCUGUAGCUUAGUGGUAGAGCGUUUGACCGGUGUACGGAAGGUCAUAGGUUCGACUCCUGCUGGGGGAA
rnacentral:tRNA from 1 species